UACGUAGGGGGCUAGCGUUGUCCGGAUUCAUUGGGCGUAAAGAGCGUGUAGGCGGCCUGAAAGGUCAGCUGUGAAAACUCGAGGCUCAACCUCGAGACGUCGGUUGAAACCAUCUGGCUAGAGUCCGGAAGAGGAGUGUGGAAUUCCCGGUGUAGCGGUGAAAUGCGCAGAUAUCGGGAAGAACACCCGUGGCGAAGGCGGCACUCUGGGACGGUACUGACGCUGAGACGCGAAAGCGUGGGGAGCGAACAGG
rnacentral:rRNA from 1 species